AUUGAACGCUGGCGGCAGGCCUAACACAUGCAAGUCGAGCGGAUGAAGGGAGCUUGCUCCUGGAUUCAGCGGCGGACGGGUGAGUAAUGCCUAGGAAUCUGCCUGGUAGUGGGGGAUAACGUCCGGAAACGGGCGCUAAUACCGCAUACGUCCUGAGGGAGAAAGUGGGGGAUCUUCGGACCUCACGCUAUCAGAUGAGCCUAGGUCGGAUUAGCUAGUUGGUGGGGUAAAGGCCUACCAAGGCGACGAUCCGUAACUGGUCUGAGAGGAUGAUCAGUCACACUGGAACUGAGACACGGUCCAGACUCCUACGGGAGGCAGAAGUGGGGAAUAUUGGACAAUGGGCGAAAGCCUGAUCCAGCCAUGCCGCGUGUGUGAAGAAGGUCGUCGGAUUGUAAAGCACUUUAAGUUGGGAGGAAGGGCAGUAAGUUAAUACCUUGCUGUUUUGACGUUACCAACAGAAUAAGCACCGGCUAACUUCG
rnacentral:rRNA from 1 species